GUCCGGACUCAGAUUGUCGAAAAAUCUCGAAGAUGUGAUCGUGGCGUCCCGCGACCGCUUCCAGCUAUUCCAGGGGACCUGGACCCGGACCGUGAAUGAGGCCUGGGCGGCCCGCCCUGCUGCGGGGUGCCCCGCUUCACCGCCAUCCGUUACGAGGAGGACGCGCUGUUCUACAGCGACGCCGCCAGUCCUAGCACAGGGCCGCGGGCGCCGCCGGUGCAGCAGGAGCUGCGAGUUUUGGGAGAACCCAAGGAUCGUCUUGAGGUUGAACGUUUUCCAGUGAAACUGAGGGCGCCACUUGGCCACUACAACCGGAGCGAGGAUGGAUGCAACCGCUGCCUUGCGUGGGACUGACACAAGAUUUUUCAAGUCUCUCCCUUGUUACUUGAAGAACCUUUGAUUUCCUUUUCUACAAAGGACAUCUGUCUUCCUGUCACUCAGUUUACCCUGUUCCAAUGGUCAUCCUUUGUCUUCUUGGUGUGAUGUCUGACACAACUCAUGCCGUUCCUUCGCCUGUAUGGAAAUUUCUAGAACAGCUGCUUUAUACACAGAGAAAGCAAUGCUCAGCACUUCCAAUAGCAUCGCUGCUGGUGGCUUGGAUCAGAACAGUGUUCAUGGUAAGAAACUGAAGAUGUGCAACCUGGACCUGUACCCCUUCUCCAUGGAGACCUGUCUGAUUGGAGAUGAGAGAAGAAGUUCCACUGCACCGAGAUUAGGCCCAUGCUUAUUCUUGGCAUUUUUAUUCACUUAAAACCAGAUAAAUCCUUUGAGUCCUGACUACUCAAACUGUGGUUGAUGGGCUAGCAGCUUAAGCUCCAUCUGGAGCACUGUAUAAAUGAGAAUUUCAGGACCAGGACCACUCUGCAGAAUCAGGAUCUGCAUUGAACAUGCUGCCCAAACCAUUUGCUACACUUACUAAAGUUUUAGAAGCACUGCUCUAGGACCAUCUUUCUCUAAGUGUAAUCCUAAAACACUCAGAGCUUUUCUUAAAAACCAAAUUUCUAGGCUCACUGCAGGACUGUAUAUGGGUCCCUGGAGGUAAAUUCUAGAAUCUGCAUUUUCAGCAAGUGCCCUUGGUUCCUGUGCGCAUGCAGAUGUAAGAAUCCAGUGCCAGAUGGAAGGAAUCAGUAGAGAUGGCUGUGGGCUGGAAUGGAACAAUGACAUUUAGGAACUGUGCACCAUGUCACAGCCCCUGCUGGAGAUCAAUACAGCAGAUCCAGUUGGUUGUGGAAAACACAGACCUCUCCCCGUGGCAAGAAUCAUAAGGAUGCAAUGACAAGAGACUAUUACAACUAGCUCUCACUGAUGGCCAGGUGAUGAAACCCAGGUUCUGAUAGUGAAAAUCCCAUGCUGGUCAGGUUCUCACAAGAGGCCACGGGAAAGCCAUGUCCAUUUCAGGAAUUCCAGCUCCACUGGGUCCCAGGUCCAUCCAGGCCAAAGAAUGAGACUGUUUGCCACAGAAGAAUCUUGCAAAGUUAAAAUGGUGGCCUCAUUAUCUGCCUUAGUAAUAGUCACCUGCCUCAUCCUGAAAACAAGGUCCUAUGUGCAGAUAGGUGAUUGGGAUCCAUAUCAGGUCCUUUUCCCUCUCCAAAACUACACCAAGAUAAUUCAUCCUGAACACAUUAUGAAGAAGGAAGGAAGGGAGAGUAGAAGAGAAGGCCUGGGUUUGGGGAUCUUCUGUCUUCUGCAACAUUGGUGCUUGUCCUGAGAAGAUUUAGAAAGAACUCCAGAAGAGAAAAAAAAGAAAGGAUGACUUUACCCACUCUGAAGUUACCCCUUCUCCUGAUGAAUGCUGGUCCCUUUUGUCCUGCCCCUAGUAGAAUUUGGGCAGAAGUUCAGCCAAUUAAGUGCUUUUGACCCUGUGUCAAUCUUGCAGCUGGCACCAUGCCACGGCACACAUUCCUCUGUCCCCAGCCUGCUUGUCUCCCUUACCUACCUUCCUCAUCUUUUUCAAGCAGAAUGGAGACAGUUGGGUGAGGAAUAAGUUCUGGAAAAUAGAAGACCCCUGGGAGAAGUGUAGGGGAGCCCCAUUGUGGGGCUUUCUGCCUGCCUUUCUUUGAGAGAGCUCCUCCACCUUUCUCUUUCAUUUUGUGUUGAAUCCAGUUGAGAUCAUAAGUUUCUUUUUCCCCACCGGCAGCCAGGAAAUGAUUCUCUUCCUAACUAGGUCUGCCUACACCCAGUAAUCUUAUUGAAUUACUCCCUUAGUAAAUCUCCCUCUAUCUUCCUUACAAAAUCUUCCCACAGGUAUGCAGUUAGGGAAGGAAAGGACAGACAAGACCUGACAUUGAUCUUAGUCACACAUCUACGAAUAGAACCUGAGGGAACAGAAUAGUAGCAGGGAGAGCAUGAUUAACAAUUGUUCAAUGGAGAAGUAAAGAGAAAAAAAAGAACAUGAUUACCUCAGUUGAUAUAGAAAAAGGAUGUGACAAAAUUCAGUAUCCUUCCAUAAUAAAACACUCACACAAGUCAGCUACAGUGGCUCACGCUUAUAAUCCUAGCUACGCCAGAGGCUGAGAUCGGUAGGAUCCUGGUUCAAGACCAGCUGGGGCAAAAAAGUUAGUGAAACCCCAUCUCAGUGGCACGUACCAUUCAUCUGAACUAUGGAGGAAAAUGUAAAAAUGUUUGUGCUCCAGGCCAGCCUGUCAUAUACAUGAGAUCCUAUUAGAAAUAUACCUAAAGCAAAAAGGGCUAUAAUCCCAGCACUCAGGAGGCUGAAGGAAAAGGAAUAAAAGUUCAGGGCCAGCCUCAGCUACAUGGAAAGACCGUGUC